CAUCUCACAGGCACAGCAGGAAGUAACACAAAAGGUCAUGAGGUUUUGUUCAGAAAUUGUAUUAAUAUGUAUGGUGGUAACUAAAUCUAAGAUGAAUGGUCAUUCAAUGAUUCAGUGGAAAAUUUGUGACUGUAUUUUAAUUAGUAGUCAUGCUAUGAUUAAAUAGUGGAAUGAAAAGUUCAAUAUUCCAACAGUGUGUUUGGAUGGAGGUGAAUGGAUGGAAGUUAAAAGCGAAAUUUUGUUUUCACCUCAUUUGGGAGGUUUUUUGAGGGGUUAGAUGAUGGAAUGGAAGGUUAAGUUUGCACCCAUUUUUCUCCCCUCUAAUUUGGGCGGUAGAGGAAGUAAUAGAAAUUACUGUAAAAUUUUACAAUGUGAUAAGACAACUAUACCCUUAUCACACUAAAAUCUAUGGCUAAGAUGCAUUCUCAUCCAAUGGAAUCAACGCUUCAGAUUUGGCCUCAAAUCCAUAAUUUUCUUCUGCACCUCUCUCCGUCUUUGUUCUCCGCCACACACUCUCUCUACCCCCUCCCUCCGCCUCUCUUUUUUCUCCGACUUCUCUGCUCUCCAACCGUCUUCCCCUCUAAUGCCACGUCGUGGACUCCAUCAACUCCUCCAGCACCGCCCAUGACCUCAGGUUUGUGUAGGAGCAAUUGAUGGAGCUCACAUCUGUGUAAAGUUUUCUCACGCUCCUAAGCAUCCUGGUAGGAAUGAUCACCUGACAUAAAAUGUAUUAGCUGCCUACACCUUUGACUUGAAAUUCACUUACGUUUUACCUGGAUCGGACAAAACUGUAUCUGACUCUAGAAUGUUGAAAAAUGCUUUACAAUGACGAUUUCCACUUAAAAUCCCUCAAGGAAAAUAUUACUUCGUUGAUGGAGGAUUCAUGUUAAGAAGUGGACUAAUUCUACCAUAUAGAAGGGAACGCUACCAUUUGAAUGAGUACUCAAGAAAUCCACCAAGGACUUCACAUGAGCUAUUUAACUUAAGACAUGCUUCACUUCACAAUGUCAUUGAAAGAGCUUUUGGUGUAUUAAAGAAAAGGUUUUCCAUUAUUGCAAGCUCAACUGAACCAAAUUAUGGUGUUAAAAUACAAAACUAAAUCAUUAUAGCUUGUUGCAUUUUGCACAAUUAUUUAAGGGGUACCAAUCCAAAUGAUGAUUUUCAAGAAGUAGAAGAUGAACAUAAUUAAUGAAAACUCAUCGGAUGAAGAUUAUAUAGAUGAUGAUGAAGAUGGCCGUAGAGAGGAGUCGCUAAGAGAGUGUAUUGCAACUUCUAUGUGGGGUGAUUAUAAUGCAUGAUUAUUUCUAUCAAAUUUGUGGGUUUUUUUUUUUUUGCAUUGUAAUAUCUAUUUGAUUGUAAGACUAAUAUUCUCUAUUUGUGUUUUAUGUUGUACUUGAAGAUUAUAAGACUAAUGAAUUAUUUUGAAUAUUUUGAUUAUAUUAUUUA